rnacentral:lncRNA from 1 species
AUGGAAGGUGAUGCAAAAAUAUUUUGGAGACAGUUAAAAGGCAGCACAGUGGACCUGAUAUUUGAGCAACUACAGAAAUUACUGUUGUCUCUGAAGGAGAAGAUCAAGAAUGGAACAGCAACAGAAGAAGAGUGCUGCCACGCUUUGGCACUUCUGAAUCUCCCGGAUAUGAAUGAACUCUUGCAACUAAUAAAUGGUAUGAAAUAGUUUUAUGUUUCCUACUGUGUAUGUCUUAUCUCUUGCUGUGUAUGUCUCUUGUUGAGCCAGGAAAAAUAACUUAUUAGGAGGAGUUUGUUUGGUUUUUUAAAUAUUGGAACUUUUCUGCUUUUUCUGCAUGAGGCACUGCUCUAGAAACCUAUUUCAGAUCAUGUAUUGCCUCUAUACCUCUGCAGCACGUAGAUGGUAUUUAUAAAAUCCCAUCUUUUUGGCAUUCAUGUUUGAAAUGUGUCCUGUGUGUAGGACUGACUUGUGCAGUUCUUGAGAUUUUAGAGAAUUGUAUUUUAUCAGAUGUAUGCAUGUGAGACUCUGAGGCUGUAGGCCCAUAUUCAAACCGAUUAGCCAACAUGUGGAAAUCGGAGGUGUGUGUUCCUGAUCUUCCACUGUAUGUGAGCUAAGCAUAAUUCUAGCAGUUUCUUAAUUGGUCCACACAGCGGAGAGAACCCUUUAGAGGUGUGGGCUACCUCUGCAUCAUAGAAGGCCGUAUCCAGUCCCAUAAUUCCUGUGCCAAAAUAUUUUUCUUAAUUAUUUUUCAGUGAGAAAGCCCCCUUGCCCCUCUUUUUCUGGCCAGUUUUGGAAAUUAAAAAAUCAAAGACAUUCCAACUGAAGCCCCACAAGCAAAGCAUAUCCAGAAUACAAGGGGUUUUUCUGAGGGAAAGAUUUUAAAAUGUGGUUGAAUUGGGGCCCUGUAGAGGGCUGUAUUUGGGUUCCUGUAUAACCCAGAGGCCAAACUAUGCCUACUCUGGUGUAUUAUAUAAACCACUGGAAUAAUUUGGUUUCAUUGUAAUGAGUCCAAAGCUCUCUGGUGAGAAAUGUCGACAGUUGUUGUAUCACACACACAGGAAGUGUUAGGAUGUUUGGGUCACAUCACACAUGGGACCAUUCUGUUCCUGAGAACCGGAAGAGUUUCCCCAAGAUCCUCACUCUUGGGUUUUUGUGGCAUGGAACAUUAAAAUGGUUCUUGCAGAGAUGGUGGUUAAUGUUGCUGAUGGCUGAGUAUGUCAAAUAAAGAUACAAGAAUCAGAAGUGUGUUUUUUGUU